UACAGAGGUCUCAAGCGUUGUUCGGAUUCAUUGGGCGUAAAGGGUGCGUAGGCGGCGCGGUAAGUCGGGUGUGAAAUCUCGGAGCUUAACUCCGAAACUGCAUUCGAUACUGCCGUGCUUGAGGACUGGAGAGGAGACUGGAAUUUACGGUGUAGCGGUGUAAUGCGUAGAUAUCGUGAGGAACACCAGUGGCGAAGGCGGCUCUCUGGCCCGUUCCUGACGCUGAGGCGCGAUGGCCUGGGGAGCAAACGGG
rnacentral:rRNA from 1 species